rnacentral:misc_RNA from 1 species
GGAAGUAAAAUCGUAACAAGGUUUCCGUAGGUGAACCUGCGGAAGGAUCAUUAAUGAGUUGUCAUGGGGUUCGAUGCUGGCAGCCAGUUUUUGGAUGCAUGUGCUUGCCCUAACAAUCAUCUUCUUCCAAACACCUGUGCACAUUUUUGAGGGAGUCUUGAGUUGGUUGCCGCUCUUGGGUGAUUUUCUCACAUUCCCUUAAAUCAUUAUACGCUAUUAACAAUGUUGAACGUGCUCUGUGCCGCAAGGCCAUUAAUAUAAUACAACUUUUAACAACGGAUCUCUUGGCUCUC